AGAUUUUAAAAGCCUAUAGAAAAAAAGCGUUGCUAUGUCAUCCUGACAAAAAUCCAGAUAAUCCAAAAGCAGCUGAGUUGUUUAUUGAAAUUGCUGAAGCAUUGAAGAUUUUGACAGAUCCUAAAGCACGAGAAGCUCUUAACAAAGUCAUAAAAGCAAAAGAAGCAGCCAAGCUUAGAACAAAAGCUUAUGAUGCAAAGAGAAAAAAGUUUAAAGAGGAUUUGGAAAACAGAGAAAAAGCUGCACAAGAAGCCGUCAGCAAUGAUACUUUAAAUGCUGAAAGACUUGCUGCAGAGG
rnacentral:lncRNA from 1 species